rnacentral:rRNA from 1 species
AACGAACGCUGGCGGCAGGCUUAACACAUGCAAGUCGAACGCCUGUAGCAAUACAGGAGUGGCAGACGGGUGAGUAACACGUGGGAACGUGCCCAAAGGUACGGAACAACUGCGGGAAACUGGAGCUAAUACCGUAUGUGCACGAGAGGGGAAAGAUUUAUCGCGUUUGGGUCGGCCCGCGUCUGUGUAGCUAGUUGGUUGGGUAAUGGCCUACCAAGGCGACGAUCAGUAGCUGGUCUGAGAGGAUGGCCAGCCACACUGGGACUGAGCCACGGCCCAGACUCCUACGGGAGGCAGCAGUGGGGAAUAUUGGACAAUGGGCGCAAGCCUGAUCCAGCCAUGCCGCGUGAGUGAUGAAGGCCUUAGGGUUGUAAAGCUCUUUCGCCAGUGACGAUAAUGACGGUACCAGGAUAAGAAGCCCCGGCUAACUUCGUGCCAGCAGCCGCCGUAACAC